GUAGGGAUUGCUGGAGGAAGGCUUACAAGUCCUCCUCUGCUUUUCUCCUAAGAAUAAAAUAUGACUUCAGGCCUUUAUACCAGUAAGAAACUGUGAUGUGUGCAUAUGGAGAGGGCACUAUGAUGUCAUUUUUCUUCUAUGUCAUCACAAUACAGCAUCUCCAGACUCCAGGAUUUCACCCUUUCUUGAUCAAAGUCAGAAGAAAAUAUGUCUGCACACAAUUAUCUUACAGAGCCAGAUGUGAAACUCCUCCUAGCUAUCAGGUAAGGGAGGAGAGUCAACGUGAUGUAAGGGUCUUGAGCGAUGCUGAGAGACAAACCUUCAAAUCCUUACUAAACUAUUGGAAAUCCACUCCAUGGCCUUGGGAAGGUCCCACUUUAGAAGCUUAAUAAGAAGGUGAUGGCAAACCUCCUUUGAAUACAUCUUGUCAGGUGUGUCAACAAAAGUCAGUUGAUAUGAAGGCACGUAACAACAAUAACAACAAAGUGAAAGAGCGAUGACUUCUACCAUGUAAAAAAAAGGAAAUAAAACCAGCCUGAAUCUCUUUCUCUGAUUCUAAA